AUCAAAUUCCAUUUUCUCUAUCCACUCAGCUGUUGAAUGGUUUCUGGUUUGUUUUGGUUUGUUUUUUCGUUUGUUGGUUUUUGUUUUUGUUUUGGCUAUUGUGAAGCCCUAGGUAUGAAGUGCAAAUAUUCCUGUGGUAUGCUUCAGGAAGGUCUUCAAGAGAGUGCUAAGGACACGUGUGUUACACGUGUCAUCUUGGAAAUGUGGAACUAAGCUUGCAACCCUGAGAUGAAACCGUCUUAGUCAUGGUGUCUGAUUACAAGCACAUGUAAACACAUGUAAACCACACACACAAGAAAAAGCAGCCUUUGGGGUGAAGAUGUGUUGAUGGCAGAGAAAUGCCCUUUGAAGCUUUUACUGUCUACGUGAACAUGCCAUGCUUAAUAUUAAACCAUAUAAAAGUCACUUUGAAGAACAACAGAGAAAGCUAAAAUUCUUAUGAAACUAGAAGACAGGGGAUGUUGAACUGCCACAAAGGUCUACCUUUGUGGGGACCUCAGUGUUCCUUCUGCAGGGAGCACUCCCUUGAGUGAGGAUCUGACUGGCAAGUCUGGAAGAACUGUCCCUUAUCUCCACAGAAGCCUGGCUGAUUUUGAAGGCCACCUCUCUUUCAAGCUUAAAGUAUAUAUAGCCCGGCCUAUGCUUUAACAGAAUUGUGCAGACCAGCCAUGUACGGUGGCCUGUGCAGUAAUCCCUAGCAAUGAACCAAAGGUCAGCCCAGGCUAUAAAAUGAGAUCUUACUUCAGAACAAAAAACCCAGCCCCAAAUGUGGAGUGUGUGGUAGCAGUAUGGGGACUGCAUCCCUGGAUUAUGCAGGACCCUCAGGGUUUUGCUCUCAGUAUAAUGGAGACUUGAGCAGGCUGCAAUAUAGUUCUGGCUGAACCGAUGCUUUUCAACAGGCAGAUGGAUCUCAGGGGACCUGCAUAAUCAACACACCUCUGGCCAAAGACAAACUCAUCAUCCCAACUAGAGAAGGGGUUGCUGAAGAUGCAGAGCCUUUCUUCAAACUAAAGACAACGCCAACUAAUUGCUUAACUGAUUAAGCCAUGCUGAUAAGAGACUAAAACAUGGAAAGCUAUGCUCUGUGGAAUGGAUGAGCCUGGACAGCCACAAGAGAUCAAGCUCUGUUACACAGCUCCAAGCGACCAUGAUUGUCUCUGCCACAGCAAACAGGAACCAGCAAGGCCUAGCUCUCACAUGUCAGGGCUCUCAUCCUCUUGACAGGAUGGCUACUGGAAUCCUUAUUGCACAUGGAAGCAACGCCCUGAAUUCUAGUUCAGUGAUGGAUUCUGGUAAUGACGCCACCAGAGUGUGAAUUCUUUUUAAUAAAAGUGUUCUGC
ensembl:processed_transcript Platr8 pluripotency associated transcript 8